rnacentral:rRNA from 1 species
GAUGAACGCUAGCGGCAGGCUUAACACAUGCAAGUCGAGGGGUAACAGGGGUGCUUGCACCCGCUGACGACCGGCGCACGGGUGCGUAACGCGUAUAGAACCUACCUUUUACAGGGGGAUAGGCUUUAGAAAUGAAGAUUAAUACCUCAUAGUAUUGAUAAUCGGCAUCGGUUAUUAAUUAAAGAUUUAUCGGUAAAAGAUGGCUAUGCGUCCUAUUAGCUAGAUGGUUUGGUAACGGCAUACCAUGGCAACGAUAGGUAGGGGUCCUGAGAGGGAGAUCCCCCACACUGGUACUGAGACACGGACCAGACUCCUACGGGAGGCAGCAGUGAGGAAUAUUGGGCAAUGGAGGCAACUCUGACCCAGCCAUGCCGCGUGCAGGAAGAAGGUUCUAUGGAUCGUAAACUGCUUUUAUACAGGAAGAAACCUUGGUACGUGUACCAAGCUGACGGUACUGUAAGAAUAAGCACCGGCUAACUCCG